UGAAUUGAGAUUAUGCAUUUAUUCUUAUGUAGAAUUAUAUGAUGUUAAAUUUGCAUGGUAAUUUGUUUCUUUAGAGGAAAGACAAAACCUGACAAAAGAGCUCGACAAAUAUUUAAAGGACCCAGCCAAAGUAAUAGGUAAGAUUUCAGUGCUGAUCACAGGGCUCAACCAUAGUUUUUUUUUAUCAACUGAAUAGUCCAUUCAAAAUACUUGUCCAGAGAAAAGUAACAUUUUCCCCCUUAAUGUAUCAUAUUAAUAUAAUCUAGGUCUAGGUUGUUAAUGAUUUUUUAUUCUAAAAAGAGUUACAUAUCCCUUUUGCCCCAAAAUUCUUAAUUUCUGGUUUUCCAGAUUAUAAAUUGAGAACAAAAGACUAGAUUGAAGAUCGAUGCUAUGUGUGGUGUGUAAUAACAUCAUAUGAAUCAAUGAAUGUCUAGGUCAAGUUUAAUAAUUUCAAUUUUUUCUUUAACUAUUUUCAAAAGAGUAAUGCACCUUUUUAUACUUAUAAAUUUCUUAAUUUUUGAUUUCCAGAUAGUCACCAUAAAACGAAUAACUAGAUGUAAGCUGUAGGUGUGCUUGUUAGGUUAUUUGUUAUUAAUAUCAAGGUCAAGUUCAAUAAUGAAAAUAUUUCGACAUUUUUGUCACAUACAUUGUAGCUCUUCAACAGUUUCAGUACUUAUACAUCUUCAGAUUUCAAAUGUUUGCCUUUGAGCGUUCCUGAUAAAGGUAAAUCCAGAAAAGUGCUUGGGACACAUGGAAUUAUUAAACUUGUUGUUUUCAAUUUUCUUUCAGACCAGCUGAAUUUGGAAUUCCUUAAUAAUGAGACUGAGGAGGAGAGCCAGAGUAUUCUUACCCCUCCAGUCACUGACAAUAAACUAGAUGAACCACAGGAACAAUCGACUAGACACAGAGUUAGAAGGGUAAUACCACCAAUAGAAUCGGAUUCCGAAAAAAGUGAAGAACAUGAACAUGAAGAAGUGUAUGAUGAUUCCGACAAAGAUGAGGAUUUCUUGCCCCCUAAAAAUAAAAAAACAGAGACAUGAGGAAUCCACCACUGAUGAGAAUGCUUCAGGUAAAGCCAAAGUUAAAAAAAGCAAAAAGAAAAAACAAAAACAAAAACAAACAGAUGAAACAGAUGAGGUAAAAAAAGCCAGAAAAGACUUUUGUCUUUUAAAAAGACAAAAGGAAAAGUUAUCAAAUGAAACAUCGUCAAUGAUGUCAAGGAACCUCCUGUCAGAGGAUAACAGUAUGAUAGAUGAGGCAAGUACAUUUAUAGGUUGCACUUUGUAAAUACAGCUGUUUCUCAAAACACGCUUCUUUUGGGGAGAUCUUGUGAAUAUUCAUAGAAAAUUAAUUUUGUUUACAUACUGGUUCCCAGUUAUGCUCUCUGUGUUCCAUCUCACAGAGACAUAACUUGGGAAUGUUACCAGUAAAUAUACACGUGCAUAUUGUUUACAUUGAAAUCUGUGGUAACCUGUAAUUUGAUUUAUAGGAGUUAUUGCCCUUUAACUUGAAUGAAAUUGUAUGUGAUUAUGCAGUGCUCCACAUUUUGAAGAAGUGACAACAUUAGAUUUUAUUUACAAAGAACCAAAUCUAUAACCUUUGAUAGUUUGCCUUAUUGAACACUGAUCUUUUGGUAGUUGGCACUACUUUUUCUGUGUUAUUGCAGUGUUUACUUUGACCCUCUGAGAAGCAUUGAUGAAAUCAAUCACAUAAGAAUGCUAGAGAUAAAAU